CUUAGAAUGAAGCAGCAGCUGUGCUAAUGACGGAAGUGAAUUCUCUGGUUUAAUUCUUAGAAGCCGCUCUACAACGACGACUCAGGGGGCUGCAAUUGGAACGUAUUUGAUUCCUGAACAUCAGGCCAUAUUCAGAAUCACUUCCUCCCUGACUGUGUGUUCUCAGUUACCUCCUGCUGGCUUGGAGUACGUGUGUGGACAUUUUGUUUUGGAGAAAGGCUGUGGGUGGAGUCAAAGAACUUCGGACUGAGGUUAUUACGG